rnacentral:rRNA from 1 species
UUCCAGCUCCAAUAGCGUAUAUUAAAGUUGUUGCGGUUAAAAAGCUCGUAGUUGAAUCUGUGUCCCGUGCUGUCGGUUCACCGCCCGCGGUGCUAACUGGCACGUCUCACGGGACGUCCUGCCGGUGGAAGGCCAAUCAUCCUGUGCUGUCUGGGGUCUGUGUGUGUACGUUCGCGCACACACACUGAAUUCCCGGGUGCUCGGUGAUCCUUCCGACUUUUUUAAAUCCUGUCGCGGUGCUCUUAAUUGAGUGUCGAGGCGGGCCGGCACGUUUACUUUGAACAAAUUAGAGUGCUCAAAGCAGGCUAAAAUUUCGCCUGAAUACUAUGUGCAUGGAAUAAUGGAACAGGACCUCGGUUCUAUUUUGUUGGUUUUCGGAACCCCGAGGUAAUGAUUAAUAGGGACAGAUGG